rnacentral:pre_miRNA from 1 species
GGGGGGAGGCCGGAUCCUGGGCUGUGUCCCAGGGUUCCUGUGCUCCCGGGCCUGUGCUGUUGGAUUCAUGCUCCCAGCCUCGCCGCCCCCU